rfam:Neonectria ditissima strain R09/05 contig_136, whole genome shotgun sequence.
GCCCCCGUGGCCUAAUGGUUAAGGCGCCUGCCUUCUAAGCAGGAGAUUGCCAGUUCAAGCCUGGCCGGGGGCU